rnacentral:rRNA from 1 species
UGGGGAAUAUUGCACAAUGGAGGGAACUCUGAUGCAGCGACGCCGCGUGAGUGAUGAAGGAAUUCGUUUCGUAAAACUCUGUUCUAUGGGAAGAAAAGGACUGUACCAUAGGAGAAAGCUCCGGCUAAAUACGUGCCAGCAGCCGCGGUAAUACGUAUGGAGCGAGCGUUGUCCGGAAUUAUUGGGCGUAAAGGGUGCGCAGGCGGCUUUACAAGUUGGAUGUGAAAUAUUGUGGCUCAACCACAAACGUGCAUCCAAAACUGCAAAGCUUGAGUUAAGGAGAGGUAAGUGGAAUUCCUGGUGUAGCGGUGGAAUGCGUAGAUAUCAGGAGGAAUACCGGUGGCGAAGGCGACUUACUGGACUUAAACUGACGCUCAGGCACGAAAGCGUGUGGAGCAAACAGG